UUCCGUAGGUGAACCUGCGGAAGGAUCAUUAAUGAAACUUCAAAGUCGGCUCGUCUGUCUGUGCUGGUGGAGACACAUGUGCACGUCGGCGAGUCGCAAAUCCACACACACCUGUGCAUCUAUGACUCUGAGUGCCGCUUUGCAUGGCCCUCAGGGGCCUGGUACUCGAGUACUUUACACACUCUGAAUGUAAUGGAAUGUCUUUUUGUACAAUGUACAACUAAAAACAACUUUCAACAACGGAUCUCUUGGCUCUCGCAUCGAUGAAGAACGCAGCGAAAUGCGAUAAGUAAUGUGAAUUGCAGAAUUCAGUGAAUCAUCGAAUCUUUGAACGCACCUUGCACCCUUUGGUAUUCCGAAGGGUACACCCGUUUGAGUGUCAUUGUAAUCUCACUACAACCACUUUAUUGUUGUUUGUAUGUGGACUUGGAUGUUGCCGUGUAACAAACGGCUCGUCUGAAAUGCCUGAGUGUACCCUGCUUUUGCGGCGUAUUCGGUAUGAUAAAUCUUCACCGGAGUUGACUUUCGGGUCGCGCUUGUAUCGUCGGGCUCUAUGCUUCCAACCGUCCUGACAAGACAAUCUCUGACAAUUUGACCUCAAAUCGGGUGGGACUACCCGCUGAACUUAAGCAUAUCAAUAAGCGGAGGAAAAGAAACUAACAAGGAUUCCCCUAGUAACGGCGAGUGAAGAGGGAAAAGCUCAAAUUUUGAAUCUGGUGUCUUUGACUCCCGAGUUGUAAUCUAGAGAAGUGUUUUCCGCGUUGGACCGUGUACAAGUUCCCUGGAACGGGGCGUCAUAGAGGGUGAGAAUCCCGUAUAUGCCACGGACUACCAAUGCUCUGUGAUACACUCUCAACGAGUCGAGUUGUUUGGGAAUGCAGCUCAAAAUGGGUGGUAAAUUCCAUCUAAAGCUAAAUAUUGGCGAAAGACCGAUAGCGAACAAGUACCGUGAGGGAAAGAUGAAAAGCACUUUGGAAAGAGAGUGAAACAGUACGUGAAAUUGUUGAAAGGGAAGCGUUUGAAGUCAGUCACGUCUGUCGGAAUUCAGCCUGGCUUCUGCCUGGUGUACUUUCCGUCCGACGGGUCAGCAUCAAUUUCGACCGAGGGAAAAAGACGUGAGGAAUGUGGUUGUCUUCGGGCAGUGUUAUAGCCUCGGGUUGUAUGUCUCGGUUGGGAUUGAGGAACGCAGCGCGCCUAUUGGCCGGGGGUUCGCGCCCCUCGGUACGCGCUUAGGAUGCUGGCAUAAUGGCUUUAAGCGACCCGUCUUG
rnacentral:rRNA from 1 species